GGACAGAUAGCUCAGUGGUAGAGGUAUGUUGCUGGAUGUCUCACGUAGCAAUCAACCAAUGCUAACAAACGCAUCAGCGAGGGAUUGCAGAUCCCUAGGUCGCGUGUUCGAUCCACGCUCGGUCCU